GUCCUUUAGAAUUUAAUUUAAGGUCUAGCCUGCCCACUGAUUUAUUUUAAAUGGCCGCAGUAAUUUGACUGUGCAAAGGUAGCAUAAUCAUUAGUUUUUUAAUUGAAAGCUUGUAUGAAAGGUUGGACGAGGUAAAAUCUGUCUCUAAUUAAUUUAAUUUAGAAUUUAACUUUUAAGUCAAAAGGCUUAAAUAUAAUUAAAAGACGAGAAGACCCUAUAGAUCUUUAUAAUUUAUUUAUUAAAUUUAAUUAAGAAUUUUUUAAAUUUUAUUAAUUUAAUUAUUUUAUUGGGGUAAUAUAAAGAUUAAAUUAAUUCUUUUUUUUUAUUAACAUUAAUUUAUGAUUUCAUGAUCCAAUUUUAUUGGUUAUAAGAUUAAGUUACCUUAGGGAUAACAGCGUUAUUUUUUUAGAGAGUUCUUAUCGAUAAAAAAGUUUACGACCUCGAUGUUGGAUUAAAGAUUAUUUCAGGUGUAGAAGUUUGAAAAUUUUGGUCUGUUCGACCAUUAAAUCUUUACAUGAUCUGAGUUCAGACCGGUGUAAGCCAGGUCGGUUUCUAUCUUUAAUAAAUUAAAAUAUUUUAGUACGAAAGGACCGAUUAUUUAAUAUAAAAUAUUUAAAUUUUGAUUAUUAUUAA
rnacentral:rRNA from 1 species